AUACGGAGGGGGUUAGCGUUGUUCGGAAUUACUGGGCGUAAAGCGCACGUAGGCGGACUGGAAAGUUGGGGGUGAAAUCCCGGGGCUCAACCCCGGAACUGCCUCCAAAACUUCCAAUCUAGAGAUCGAGAGAGGUGGGUGGAAUUCCAAGUGUAGAGGUGAAAUUCGUAGAUAUUUGGAGGAACACCAGUGGCGAAGGCGGCUCACUGGCUCGAUACUGACGCUGAGGUGCGAAAGCGUGGGGAGCAAACAGGAUUAGAUACCCCAGUAGUCC
rnacentral:rRNA from 1 species